AACGAACGCUGGCGGCAUGCCUAACACAUGCAAGUCGAACGAGACCUUCGGGUCUAGUGGCGCACGGGUGCGUAACGCGUGGGAAUCUACCCUUGGGUUCGGAAUAACAGUUAGAAAUGACUGCUAAUACCGGAUGAUGACGUAAGUCCAAAGAUCUAUCGCCCAAGGAUGAGCCCGCGUAAGAUUAGCUUGUUGGUGGGGUAAUGGCCUACCAAGGCGACGAUCUUUAGCUGGUCUGAGAGGAUGAUCAGCCACACUGGGACUGAGACACGGCCCAGACGCCUACGGGAGGCAGCAGUGGUGAAUAUUGGACAAUGGGCGAAAGCCUGAUCCAGCAAUGCCGCGUGAGUGAUGAAGGCCUUAGGGUUGUAAAGCUCUUUUACCAGGGAUGAUAAUGACAGUACCUGGAGAAUAAGCUCCGGCUAACUCCGCGCCAGCCGCCGCGGUAA
rnacentral:rRNA from 1 species